CAUCGAUGAAGAACGCAGCGAAAUGCGAUAAGUAAUGUGAAUUGCAGAAUUCAGUGAAUCAUCGAAUCUUUGAACGCACCUUGCGCUCCUUGGUAUUCCGAGGAGCAUGCCUGUUUGAGUGUCAUUAAUAUAUCAACCUCUUCAGCUUUUGCUUGAGUGGUUGGAUGUGGGGGCUUUAAAUUUCUGCUGGACUUUUUUCUUUUUGAGAAGAUCAGCUCCCCUAAAAUAUAUUAGCAGAACAAUUUUGUUGACCGUUCAUUGGUGUGAUAAAUAUCUACGCUAUUGACGUGAAGCAAGUUCAGCUUCUAACAGUCCAUUGACUUGGACAAAUUUUUCAUUAAUGUGACCUCAAAUCAGGUAGGACUACCCGCUGAACUUAAGCAUAUCAAUAAGCGGAGGAAAAGAAACUAACAAGGAUUCCCCUAGUAACUGCGAGUGAAGCGGGAAAAGCUCAAAUUUAAAAUCUGGCAGUCUUUGGCUGUCCGAGUUGUAAUCUAGAGAAGUGUUAUCCGCGUUGGACCGUGUACAAGUCUCC
rnacentral:rRNA from 1 species